rnacentral:tRNA from 4 species
GCUCUUGUAGCUCAACGGAUAGAGCGUCGGUUUGCGGAACCGGAGGUUAGAGGUUCGAUUCCUCUCAAGGGCG